GUUUAAAUCAUCACGCACAGUUUUUUCCUGUGCUUCCUCAUGCUGGUAGUGUCUUUCCAUUUCCACUCUUUUCAAGGGCGCCAUUCAAUUUGUCUUGCCUUCCUUCCUCUCCACAUCAGCCCAGCACACCAAGAAAUGGAAGAUGGAGCAUGAGCACUUCUAGUAUGUGCUUUACUUCCUCAGGAUGGAGAGGACAGAAGACCCUAGAAGUGGGAUCACCAAACUUUACAAAGAAGAGGUCACUCGAGGCUGAACACUGUCCCCGUCACUGCUGCACAUGUUUCUCCUGCAAGUCUGCGAUGGAGCACUGUUUUCCUUUACAUGGAUAAGCAUCUCUUCCUCGAAACUAAGGAUUAAUUAUUGACCUGCUCUGCUCACCUUGUGAUCACUCACCUGCUAACCACCAACCUGCUGUGCCAGCUCAGCAUCUCAAGACAGUAGUAAAAGAGAUAUUCCUGUCGUAUGUGAUGUAUGCUCUUUGUUCCAAGACUGCAUAUAACCACUCUGUACACCCCACUUCUUUGGUGCCCUUCCUUCCUCGGGGAAGGAAGGCCCCAGGCUAGAGUCCUCAAACCUGGCUCAUAAUAAACUCAC
rnacentral:lncRNA from 1 species